GAAUAAUCCUUCUGGAGAGGAAUGGAAUAUUUGAUCGACAAUUUCGUCCUCAGUUAAGUAUUCUUCAGGGAUGAGGCCUAUAAUUUGGUUUUGGAAACCAAAUGUAUAGUACUCAGCAUCCAUUAACCCUUUCAAUUCUGGCAAGGAAUUGAGCAUGACCUGCCAGAUCUACAGAUUCAACAUAGUCCCUGUGGAGAGAAAUGGUUAAAACAUCACCUUCCAGAGAGACAUUCUGGAUCCUCUCUGGAGCAACUCUUACGGAAUGCUCAUCUACAGGUGCGAUUGCAUCAUUCACCUGCAGGAUAGUCACGUCAGGUGACUGAAUAUUCCUAAAAUGUACCUCAAUCGAGUCAGGUCUUUCUUCUAUCACAUGGCAGUUACGAUCAGAUUGUACAUGUGAUUUCUCAUAGGUUAUGGGAACCUUAGCCUGUGACCAUACAAUUCCAUUCACACAGUCAAUAAUUGUGUUAAGUCUUCUGAGUAUGUCUAUACCCAGAAUCAGUCGGUCAUAGAUGAGAUCUACCACUAUCACCGGGUGUCUAAAGGUUUUGUUACCUAUUUUAAACUUUUAACCAGGUAUUGCCAAUAACAUGAAGGGCAUUUCCUCCUACACUCAACAGAGCAUUGGGGAAAUCUCUUAGCUUCGGCUUAUCCGUUGCUAAGUCUAUUACCUGCUGGAAGUAGGUAUUGGAUAAGAUAGUGGCUUGUGAACCAGUAUCUAUUAACCCUUUGAAAGGCUGGGGUAGCGAAUCCUGUAUUUCUACAGACAUGUAGUACUUUCCUUCAUGUUCUUCUAAUUCACAUAAGAAUUUAGAAUGUGUCAACAUAUCAAUCGUUUUACAUACAUUACCGGUCACAGCAGUAGUUUCUACCUGUACUGAGGAAUGCUCAGUCUUACCCACAGGCCCAUCCUUUUUAGGAAUAUCUUGAACUGUCAAGCGGUAACUAGUGGUCGGCAUCUUAUCAGUUAACCCUUUCAGGUCUGGAUCCUGGAAACUUGUGGCUGCUGGGGCUACCUUAGCCUUUGGCUGCAAUGAAAAAACAGAGGAACACGUUGCGCCUCCUUCACCCGGAAGUGAAGUGACGGUAUGGGCAAUAGGUUUUCUAACACAACUAUUAUUUGUUUGACUAUUAUUACCUGGAAAGGAAACAGGGUUAGGUAUUACAUCUACUGAUAACCUAGCCUGUUUAGUCACAGUGGCUAUUAUUGCUGCGGCACUUGUUGUUGUUGCUGCGGUUGCACAGGUGGCUCUACAAUUGGAGCUAUCCCUAAAAAAGGAUUUCUGGCAAAGACUUGGUUAAUCUUUGCCAUUUCCUCCAUUAAUUUGCCCAUCUGGUCUGUCAAUUGACCAACCUGACGACGCAAAUUAUUUCCCCCAUUGCCGUUUUGUCUUUGCCCAUUAGAAUUUGGCUGGGAUGGCUGAGACUGUUGGGAGUUAUUGGAAGCAGAUUGGUUGUUUC